UAUUCAAUAACUCAGCUGGUAGAGCGGAGGACUGUAGUUGGUAUACGAUAACAAUCCUUAGGUCGCUGGUUCAAUUCCGGCUCGAAGGA